rnacentral:rRNA from 1 species
GAUGAACGCUGGCGGCGUGCCUAACACAUGCAAGUCGAGCGAACCUUUCGGGGUGAGCGGCGGACGGGUGAGUAACGCGUGGGUAACCUGCCCUAUACACACGGGUAACGUACCGAAAGGUACGCUAAUACGGGAUAAAGUUGUUGGAUGGCAUCUUCUAACAAUCAAAGCUCCGGCGGUAUAGGAUGGACCCGCGUCUGAUUAGCUAGUUGGUGAGGUAAUGGCUCACCAAGGCGACGAUCAGUAGCCGACCUGAGAGGGUGAUCGGCCACACUGGAACUGAGACACGGUCCAGACUCCUACGGGAGGCAGCAGUGGGGAAUAUUGCACAAUGGGCGAAAGCCUGAUGCAGCAACGCCGCGUGAGCGAUGAAGGUCUUCGGAUCGUAAAGCUCUGUCCUCAAGGAAGAUAAUGACGGUACUUGAGGAGGAAGCCCCGGCUAACUACGUGCCAGCCGCCGCAGUAA